AAACGACUCUCGGCAACGGAUAUCUAGGCUCUCGCAUCGAUGAAGAACGUAGCAAAAUGCGAUACGUGGUGUGAAUUGCAGAAUUCCGCGAACCAUCGAGUUUUUGAAUGCAAGUUGCGCCCGAAACCCACUGGGUCGAGGGCACGCCUGCCUGGGCGUCACGC
rnacentral:rRNA from 1 species